GUGAAGGAGAGCAUGCACGUCACGUUAAGAUCGUACGUCUCCAGUGCGAGCAGCCGCCAUUUUCUCAGCGUGAAAGAAGCAAGAAGCGAGUGAAAGACUAUGACUUGUUGAGCUUGUGUCUUCAUCGUGUCAGCGCCGAGAGUUAAAGACACAGAAGCUGUUUGUGUGAGAGUCACACACUGUGUGAGGAGGAGGAUGAUGUGUUCUUCUGAAGAGAGGGACAGACGGUUUAGGGCGAGUAAACUUCAGAAUUCCAUCAAGUUAUCUUUAUUUUUACUAAGACUAAAAUAAUGUUUGUUUUGUAGAUGUUAAAAGCCAGAGACAUGGGAGAUCAUCAUUCUUUUGAGUUUUUAUAACUCAAACCAACUUUGGAGUUGUCUGAUUUGGAGAGUCAUCAUUCUUUUUCUUCCCUCUUAAAAGCCACUGAUGAAGAGCAGGUGGUGACUGGAUGAAUGCUGGUCAAAGAAGAGAACAUCCUUUCCUCUAAACUGAUGCAGCAGUGGUUUUAAAUGAGGACACUGCCCUGGAUGAUGUAGAAGAUGUCACAUGCUGUGCUGAAGGGGCUUCUUCAUGACUACAGCAAUUAUGCUGAAGAGAUCAUGAAAGUUGACCGUGAUGCAUGAUCUGUAUUCAUGGACUAUGAAACAAACUGUAAGUGUAUAAUUUGUGAAAACAA